UACGUAGGGAGCAAGCGUUGUCCGGAAUCAUUGGGCGUAAAGCGCGCGUAGGUGGCUUCGUAAGUCCGUUGUGAAAGUCAAAGGCUCAACCUUUGAAAGCCGAUGGAUACUGCGGAGCUAGAGUACGGAAGAGGCGAGUGGAAUUCCUGGUGUAGCGGUGGAAUGCGCAGAUAUCAGGAGGAACACCAAUAGCGAAGGCAGCUCGCUGGGACGUUACUGACGCUGAGACGCGAAAGCGUGGGGAGCGAACAGG
rnacentral:rRNA from 1 species